UACGUAGGGGGCAAGCGUUGUCCGGAAUCAUUGGGCGUAAAGAGCGCGUAGGCGGUCCGGUAAGUCCGCUCUGAAAGUCCGGGGCUCAACCCCGGGAGGCGGGCGGAUACUGUCGGGCUAGAGUCCGGAAGAGGCGAGUGGAAUUCCUGGGUGUAGCGGGUGAAAUGCGCAGAUAUCAGGAGGAACACCGAUGGCGAAGGCAGCUCGCUGGGACGGUACUGACGCUGAGCGCGAAAGCGUGGGAGCAAACAGG
rnacentral:rRNA from 1 species